rnacentral:rRNA from 1 species
CCCCAGACUCCUACGGGAGGCAGCAGUGAGGAAUAUUGGUCAAUGGGCGAGAGCCUGAACCAGCCAAGUCGCGUGAGGGAGUACUGCCCUAUGGGUUGUAAACCUCUUUUGCCGGGGAGCAACGGGGUCCUUGCGAGGGCCCGAUGAGAGUACCCGGAGAAAAAGCAUCGGCUAACUCCGUGCCAGCAGCCGCGGUAAUACGGAGGAUGCGAGCGUUAUCCGGAUUUAUUGGGUUUAAAGGGUGCGUAGGCGGGCUGUUAAGUCAGCGGUCAAAUGUCGGGGCUCAACCCCGGCCUGCCGUUGAAACUGGCGGCCUCGAGUGGGCGAGAAGUAUGCGGAAUGCGUGGUGUAGCGGUGAAAUGCAUAGAUAUCGCGCAGAACUCCGAUUGCGAAGGCAGCAUGCCGGCUCCACACUGACGCUGAGGCACGAAAGCGUGGGUAUCGAACAGGAUUAGAUACCCGCGUAGC